AGUGAACGCUGGCGGUAGGCCUAACACAUGCGAGUCGAACGGCAGCACAGGAGAGCUUGCUCUCUGGGUGGCGAGUGGCGGACGGGUGAGGAAUACAUCGGAAUCUACUCUGUCGUGGGGGAUAACGUAGGGAAACUUACGCUAAUACCGCAUACGACCUACCGGUGAAAGCAGGGGACCUUCGGGCCUUGCGCGAUUGAAUGAGCCGAAGUCGGCUUAGCUAGUUGGCGGGGUAAAGGCCCACCAAGGCGACGAUCCGUAGCUGGUCUGAGAGGAUGAUCAGCCACACUGGAACUGAGACACGGUCCAGACUCCUACGGGAGGCAGCAGUGGGGAAUAUUGGACAAUGGGCGCAAGCCUGAUCCAGCCAUACCGCGUGGGUGAAGAAGGCCUUCGGGUUGUGAAGCCCUUUUGUUGGGAAAGAAAUCCAGCUGGCUAAUACCCGGUUGGGAUGACGGUACCCAAAGAAUAAGCACCGGCUAACUUCGUGCCAGCCGCCGCUGUAA
rnacentral:rRNA from 1 species